AGUCGAACGCUUCUUUUUCCACCGGGAGCUUGCUCCACCGGAAAAAGAGGAGUGGCGAACGGGUGAGUAACACGUGGGUAACCUGCCCAUCAGAAGGGGAUAACACUUGGAAACAGGUGCUAAUACCGUAUAACAAUCGAAACCGCAUGGUUUUGAUUUGAAAGGCGCUUUCGGGUGUCGCUGAUGGAUGGACCCGCGGUGCAUUAGCUAGUUGGUGAGGUAACGGCUCACCAAGGCCACGAUGCAUAGCCGACCUGAGAGGGUGAUCGGCCACAUUGGGACUGAGACACGGCCCAAACUCCUACGGGAGGCAGCAGUAGGGAAUCUUCGGCAAUGGACGAAAGUCUGACCGAGCAACGCCGCGUGAGUGAAGAAGGUUUUCGGAUCGUAAAACUCUGUUGUUAGAGAAGAACAAGGAUGAGAGUAACUGUUCAUCCCUUGUCGGUAUCUAACCAGAAAGCCACGGCUAACUACGUGCCAGCAGCCGCGGUAAUACGUAGGUGGCAAGCGUUGUCCGGAUUUAUUGGGCGUAAAGCGAGCGCAGGCGGUUUCUUAAGUCUGAUGUGAAAGCCCCCGGCUCAACCGGGGAGGGUCAUUGGAAACUGGGAGACUUGAGUGCAGAAGAGGAGAGUGGAUUCCAUGUGUAGCGGUGAAUGCGUAGAUAUAUGGA
rnacentral:rRNA from 1 species